CGCUGGCGGUGCGCUUACACAUGCAAGUCGUGCGGUCUUUUUUUUGAAAGCUUCGGCCGGAUAAAAAAAGAUAGCGGCAAACGGGUGAGUAACACGUGGAUAAUCUGCCUUCAGGACAGGAAUAAGCUCGCGAAAGCGGGUCUAAUACCGGAUAUGACUGCGCGGGGCAGCCUGCGCAGUAAAAGGAGCAAUCCACCUGAAGAUGAGUCCGCGUCCCAUUAGCUUGUUGGUGGGGUAAAAGCCUACCAAGGCUACGAUGGGUAGCCGGCCUGAGAGGGUGAUCGGCCACACUGGGACUGAGACACGGCCCAGACUCCUACGGGAGGCAGCAGUGGGGAAUCUUGCGCAAUGGGGGAAACCCUGACGCAGCGACACCGCGUGGAGGACUAAGGCCUUCGGGUUGUAAACUCCUGUGUUGCGGGAAGAAACCGUUGUUUUUUAAUAACGGUUGACGGUACCGCAGUAGAAAUCCCCGGGNUAACUCCGUGGCAA
rnacentral:rRNA from 1 species